rnacentral:lncRNA from 1 species
GCUUGCUCAUGAGAGAGAGUGUGAGCAGUAGGUAUGUAUGUGUGCUUUCUGUUGGGUUCAAGUAUAUGAACGAAUGUUAUUCAAUAUGAAUUUGGGUUCAGAAUCACUGGCUAUUAAAUGUCCAGGAGAACAACUCCCUGAACAGAGUAGUCUAGAGAAUGAAAGAGAAGUCUAUUAAAGUGCUCCUUGUAAGUGACCAUUGAUAGCCAUAUUUUUUUUGGUCAUGGAUAGAUGUUAGUAUCCUAGAUACAAAGCACAAACAAUAUUAUGAAAAGUUAUAUUAUUGUGAAGAUAUUCACUUUGUGUGCCAAUAAUAGGAAGGACAUUUUCCUUAUGUAGAACAGGAAAAAGAGAAAGAAUACCUAGAAGAGAUGACUUAAAAGAUAUUUAAGUUCUAAAUGUGAUGAAGAUUUUGUAAGGAUUAACUAGAGAAGGCAGUGAUCUUACACACUGAGGACUGGGUGGUGAUGGGAAAGGGAAGGAGGAAUAUUUCACAGGGGUUCCUAUUUUCUCAUUUAAAAAAUUGCUCUUUUUAUAAUUCUCCUUAAGUGUAUUGUUUGGAAGGACAUUUAUAAUUUUCAGCUUAUUCAGGAAAACAUUAAAAAGUUUAUUUCAUUCUUUUCAAAUAAACAAAUUUUAUUUGUAUUGUAUGUAUUAUGUAAAUGGCAAAUAAGCUUUAUGUGGCCAUUUGUUUUGAAUAGAUUGUUAAGUGAUCCUAUCCUGUAUAUAUGUAUAAUAAAAUUCUGGGGCCUUUUUCAGGGAGCAAGGUUCUGAACAUAGUUAUAUCUGUUUAACAUGUCAAGGGGCUGCGGUUGUGGUUUA